rnacentral:rRNA from 1 species
GACGAACGCUGGCGGCGUGCUUAACACAUGCAAGUCGAACGGAAAGGCCCUGCUUGCAGGGUACUCGAGUGGCGAACGGGUGAGUAACACGUGGGUGCUCUGCCCUGCACUUCGGGAUAAGCCUGGGCAACUGGGUCUAAUACCGGAUAGGAGCCAUUUUUAGUGUGAUGGUUGGAAAGUUUUUUCGGUGUAGGAUGAGCUCGCGGCCUAUCAGCUUGUUGGUGGGGUAAUGGCCUACCAAGGCGGCGACGGGUAGCCGGCCUGCGGGGGUGGACGGCCACAUUGAGACUGAGAGACGGCCCAGACGCCUACGGGAGGCAGCAGGGGGGAAGAUUGAACAAUGGGCGCAAGCCUGAUGCAGCGAGGCCGCGGGGGGGAUGACGGCCUUCGGGUUGAAAACACCUUUCGCUAGGGACGAAGCUUUUUGUGACGGUACCUAGAUAAGAAGCACCGGCUAACUACGUG